rnacentral:rRNA from 1 species
AUGAACGCUGGCGGCGUGCCUAAUACAUGCCAGUCGAGCGAACGGACGAGAAGCUUGCUUCUCUGAUGUUAGCGGCGGACGGGUGAGUAACACGUGGAUAACCUACCUAUAAGACUGGGAUAACUUCGGGAAACCGGAGCUAAUACCGGAUAAUAUUUUGAACCGCAUGGUUCAAAAGUGAAAGACGGUCUUGCUGUCACUUAUAGAUGGAUCCGCGCUGCAUUAGCUAGUUGGUAAGGUAACGGCUUACCAAGGCAACGAUGCAUAGCCGACCUGAGAGGGUGAUCGGCCACACUGGAACUGAGACACGGUCCAGACUCCUACGGGAGGCAGCAGUAGGGAAUCUUCCGCAAUGGGCGAAAGCCUGACGGAGCAACGCCGCGUGAGUGAUGAAGGUCUUCGGAUCGUAAAACUCUGUUAUUAGGGAAGAACAUAUGUGUAAGUAACUGUGCACAUCUUGACGGUACGUAAUCAGAAAGCCACGGCUAACUACGUG